rnacentral:rRNA from 1 species
CAGUAGCCGCGGUAAUACGAAGGGGGCUAGCGUUGUUCGGAAUUACUGGGCGUAAAGCGCACGUAGGCGGCUUGGUAAGUUAGAGGUGAAAGCCCGGGGCUCAACCCUGGAAUUGCCUUUAAGACUGCCGAGCUAGUAGGUGAGGGAGGUGAGUGGAAUUCCGAGUGUAGAGGUGAAAUUCGUAGAUAUUCGGAAGAACACCAGUGGCGAAGGCGGCUCACUGGACCGACACUGACGCUGAGGCGCGAAAGCGUGGGGAGCAAACAGGAUUAGAUACCCCAGUAGUCCCUGUCUCUUAUAC